CCAUCGUCCCACUCUAUUAAGCAUUUGUGUGUCCUUGAUUUGGAUACUGCAUGUAACUGUGGGCCCUGUAAUACAAGAAGGCUGUGGGGAACUUGAAUGUGUCCAGAUGAGAGCUGCAAAGCUGAUAACAGGGCUGAAAGUCUUGUCCUGCGUAGAGAGGCUGCGGGUGCUUGGGCUGACCAGUCUGGAGAAUAGAAGGCUGAUAGGCAACUUCAUUGCUCUCUUCAACUUCCUGAGAAGGGGAAGAGAAGAUCUUGUCACAGAGCUGCUAUAUAGAAGAAAAUCAAGUCAAGAAGCACAACCAAGGAACAAAUUUCUGGGGGAAGGCAGAAGCAAGAAUGUUCUCAGCUAGGCUUGCUGCUGUGACAUGGAACACACUGAAGGUAUAACACCUCCUGAACUCAGCAUAUGAAACCCCCAAAUAGUAGCUGUAUUUCUGGGAAAGCUGUAUUAAUCUGAGAUGUACCUAUAUCUCCACAGUGAACUUGAUGCAGCUUUAGCAGUUCAUUGGUCAACCAGAAGCAGAAAUACUUCCCACAGUUCCAUUAAAUUUAAAAAAAAAAAAAAAUAAUAAAAAAAAAUUCAAUGGCUGUUACCAAAAAUUCAGAAGUAUGCAGCUGUUACCAGUGAAGUGACUAAAUGGGCUACAUGACACACCACUUCGGCUGGAACGAAACUGAUCAAAUUGCAGUGACAUGGAAGUCAAUUCUUCAUCUCUCUACCUCCUGAAGACCUCUUUGUAGAAAGAAGGGAUACAGCAUGUGGAGCUACUGAAUCAAGCCCAUGAAGAAAAGAUAGGUGACUGAGGGUUAGAAGAGGAGUUUGGAUGUCAAGUUCAAGCUUUCCUUCCUGACUUCUCCAUGGAUGCGCUUUGUCACGUGGCUCAACAUUCUUGGAGCUGAGAAGAUGGAGUUCUCUAAUUUUGCACACUGGUGCUCGCAAUUGCUGGAGAGUAAUUUCUUCUUGACUGUACUUCCCUGCACAGACUGACUUUGUCUUUUACCUUGUUGCCUUCUGAAGGGCAGUCAGACAUUGCAUUCAAGGCUGAGUGUCCCACCUGUUGUAGAGUUUGGAGGCAUAGUCCUUCUCUCAACCCAAAGGUACCACAGUUGAGUUUCAUCUAAGUCAUCUAGUUUUCUCCAUAGGCCAGUAGAGAAGAAUAGAAAUUUCUUGGCUGAAAAUACAAAUAAGUCAUUACUUAAGGUGUCUGAUUUUUCCUCCUUGUAUUAAACAAGCAAAACAAAUAAUUAAACAAACAAUGAAACAAAAGAAAAAAACUCCAUACACUCCAAUAAAAGAAAAAGAAAACAGCAGAGGUGAUGAGCUCAGAUAUCUGCAUCGGAGCAUUCCAGAGUUUAAUGGGAUUAAACUGUACCUCAGUUUCCCUAUGAAUAAACUAUAACAAUAGGACAUCAAUAACAGUAUAUCAAAUUAGAGUGUUGACACCCACUUCUUUAUGUGAAUGUGUUGUCUGCUUAGACAGAAUAACUCUUCAAAACAGAUGGCAAAAGGAAAAUGUUCUCUCUGUAUGUUAUGCUGCCUAUUUCCAGCAGGAUUUCGUUACUGAAGUAACCACAUUUCUUUGCACUGAGUUGCAAGGCAAAGAUCGGAUGGGACAGACCUGCCUGCACAUCUAGGAAUUGCUCCCAGUCACACAGAUGUAUUUCUGAAUAGAAAUGCAAUAGAAAAACAGUGUUGUUUCAAAAGACAUCAGCUUCUAGAAGGCCCCUGUUGGAUCUGUAAGCGAGUGGAUUGAGGAGCAUCAGAUAAUUCAUUUAUUCACAGAUUCUAAGAGUGAAAGGGUUGCAUUUUGAUCAUCAGGUCAGCUGUUUGGUGUAACGUCAGUUUCCCUUCGUCUACAUUUGUUCAGCUGUUCAACUAGAAUAUAUGUUUCAGAAGAAAACCAUACCAGACUGCAGAAUUCCUAGCUUCAUGUCUGAUCAGACAUUGUAAAGGAGUUUUUCUCAUUAAUUAAUGCUCUGUUGAAAUCAUUAUGCCUAUUUGCUAUGGAAAGAUUUAUCAAGAAAUUCACUGGAGCAGCUAACCUUGCUGUCAUGGAUUUGGUUACCCUUCCUUUUGCCUCAUUCCUGGUCCUCAAGGUUUCAGCAAAUUUCUCCCCAACUCUCAGCUUCCUGGUGAAUUUUCUAUCCCCUCUCAUUCGUGGGGUGUGACAGGAUAAUAGCAGCAAUCCAGUCCUUAUUGUCUGGAUCUGCGGAUGAACGGUGCUGUAUAAGUGUAAAGUGUUAUUAUUAUUGUAAGGAAAUAAUAAUACUAAUAAAACAAAAUGAAUCGA
ensembl:lncRNA